UACAAUCAAGGUAGUUCUGCUACGGACUACAAAACAUGGAAAUGCUAUGCUACCCUGCCUGCAGGCCCACGAUCACGACCACGCCUCAGUCCUCUGGAUAGUUCACGUAGAGGCGGUGUGUCUCCUCGUCGUACCGCAACGCCAGCUGGGUGCCGUCGGGAUCAUCUGUCUCUGGGGUACCUGUACCUGUUGGGAGUUCGGAGGAAUCCGUGAGCCACGGGGACUCAGCAAUCUAAGACCUUGGUGCCAGAACUAGUCAUGUUAUUAGGUAGGGUAAGGGUGAAGUGUAUAAGGUUGCACCAUCCUAAGCUUGAUUUAGUGGCUAACUUACGUAAAGCAAUUAUGAAGGUGGUCUACACUAGCGGUCGUGAUUACUUGAUCACUAAGUGAUCCUGAACACCUACCUACGGCAUUCAUAACCCCACCGUGUUCCCGAUCGAAGAGAGAUCUUCGAGGGGGACAGUCACGGUUACGCACACAGUUGGCAAUUUUACUAGCUUAUGUUUAAGUUCUCUAAUACCGGAUGUUAACAAAAUAUUCCAAGUUGCCACAUAACCGCGGGCAUGGCUUUCCGAAAGAUUAAACCCUGCAGGGGUGCUCCAACUAGUCCAUCACAAACGUACACAGGCCGCAAAGGCAUCCUCUAUCACGAAUCUCGUGAUCUCGUAGGAUUCCUUAGAGGAAAAACCUCAACUCUGGGGAAAACCAAAGCUUCACUGGGAUUCCUAUACGCAAGAUAUACCGCUAAGGUAAGGCAAGGCUAGUAGGACCUCCCGACGUGUCGACGACCCCGAUAAGAGCCGCGUAUCUCAGUCUCAGGACACGACGGAUGGAAAAGCCUACAGGAGGCAAACCUCAAGUUUCCCUGUGGUGGCCCCCACAGUUUGUCCAUGUUAGACCAACACUCAUGCGGAGCACUGGCCCGGGUUGUUGAUUAAAAUCCUCGGGGUAGCUAUUCCCUAUGCAGUUUAUUAUUAAGUGAUUAGAAAAUUAACACCAAUGUUGGGUCCUGCCGGACAAGCCUUAGCACUAUGCGAUUUAUCGAGGGGGUCCCCAUAACAACCCCGAACGUGUUAGGAGCGAUCAUUAUGGAAUCAAACACCGGUAACUGGUAACUAAGGCAGCAAUAACGGAACAAAGCACCCGACAAAAGGCUAGGUCUCCCGUCAUUUACCAAGUAUAUAGGUGCAUUAAAUAAAUAACAGAAUUUAAGAUAAUGAUAUCAAGCUCAUGUUAUCACAUGAGUCAAAGCACCUGCAUCUAGCAACGCUAUCAUUAGUAGCUGAGCAAAGCCUACUUAGCCAUACAAGUUUAGCUAGGAAGGGAUCAGUGUUUGGGUUCAUGGCAUAUCAAGAGGCAAUAUAAUUCAGUGGUAGGCAGCAAGCAAUAUGACAUGGAAAUGCAAACUAGCAUAGCAAGUCUAGAGAUGGAAUCAAGGUCAUAUCAUCUUGCCUGUGAUAUCCUCAGCUUGGAAUGGUUCUGGUUCGUCCUGCACGUACUCUCCUGACUCCACGUAUUCGUUCUCCGAGCCCGGUGCUACCCAACAUAAGAAUAACAACCAAUGAAGAGCAGCACCACAAUAUGCAACAAGCACAUGAUGCAUGAGAUGAAAAAUGAGCAUGCAUCACUAUUUCUAUCACUAGCACUAGCAAAAGGAACUACUAUAAGUUUCUGGACAGAACUGUACACUAAGCUAUUUUGACAUGCAUGAGAAUGGCAUGAACAAAUGCGUCUCGUGAAAACGAUGCAAAACCAUAUAAAGAACAUUACAAUCGGAGCUACGGAUCAACGGGAAUCAAUGAAACAAGAUAUGAAGCCCUACGUGCAAGAAUCAACACCACACCCACAAUUGGCACAAAUCUGGUGUUCCCAGGUUGCCAAGACAUAUAACAACCCAACAUGAAUGGAUUGUAGCAAGGAAUAACACCACAACAUCAACUAAUCACCCACAAUUAUAAAAAUGACUAUACUACACAAUCUGCCAUAAUCUGCAUCUUAGCUCUUUGUGAGCUACAUGAAACAUAGCUACAGCCCUCAAAAUAUGACAAAUAAUAUAUGUGUCUGUAGCCCACCAAGAACACUACAAGCACCAGCAAUAAUCACAGCAAAAGGAAUUAAACUCUAGAAGAUACAAGGGCACAAACUUUCCCAAAACCAUCAGAUCUCAGGGACUUGGUGAAAAUUCCUGCACCUGACUUUCUGUUUUUGUUCUGAAGCUUUUUGACAGCAACCAAAACAUAAUAUACAGGGCUCCAAAUGAGAUGAAAUUUGACAGGGAGCUUCACAAACAUAUCAGGUCCAAAUUCUUAGCACUGAACUAAGGCUAGUUCACAACACAAUGACCAACACAACCUCAUCUAUAGGAGAAGAAAGUAUUUCCAGAUUCUCAGACUUAGUGAAAUUCCAGAUUUCACUAAGCUGGAAUUUUCAGCCACAUACCCACUUUGUCUAGGAAUAGUUUGCACAAAAAUAACACCAAGUGAUAAAUGACACCACUAUGGUGUAGAGCAAAACCCCUACUACUAUCACACAAAAGCUCAUGCCCUUGGGCUCCACCUAUUCCAUGGAAACAAAGAGCAACCUUGCAACAAAUCUGAAUAUGUCAACUCCAUAAAGUAUCCCAAUGGCAAAACUAACUUCACCACUGGACUCCUUGGGAGAUUCUACCCCAAAAUAAUAUAUAAUAUGUGGGAACUUACUUGGAACAAGUGACCACAAAUUAAGGAACAGGAAACUACUCCAAAUCAUGCCUAGUGAAUAGUGCAUCAUUUCAUGUAGUUUCACUAUAUCAACUACUACAUGGUUGAGCUCAUGUGCACAAUGACAAAGUGACAUGGGGGUUUGAACCCCAUGUUUGUGUCAUGCACAUCAACUUCACAACCACUUCUACCAAGCUAUCCACACAUACAAAUCACCAUGCCCUCUCACAUAUGGACAUGUGAAGGUGCAUAGUUUUGCUUGCAAAGGUGGGGUGUCCCACACACACACACAUCCACUCCACUACACACAUCAAAACAUGUUCUUGGACAACACUAAAUAUUGCAUCUAUUUAGAUCACUCAAGUAGGGAGCUCAUCCACCACAAACACAUGCUCACAAACUUAGAUGUACAUGAACUAUGUUCAUGUGGGGGGUGUUCCUCACACCACAUGCACCACAACAUAUAUAUGCACUCAAAACCUGUCACACUACACCAUAUAAGCAUGACACUAGGGCAUCUACACACUCACUUAGGCUAGCUUCACCACACACUCACAUUCAUACAACCACGCAUACACACAUAUGAGCACAUACACCACACUCACAUAUCUUACCUACACCACUACAACUUCUGGACAGGAAAAGAAAAAUAAGAUGCACUCCUUUAUGCCUAUUAUUUAGGCACAAGGUGUAACAACAAAUAGCAAAGGAAAAAUAAAAGAAAGAAAGGGAAAAAAAUUAAAAGGGCAGGCCUGGGAUUCGAACCCAGGGCCUCCUGAUUGCUGGUCUGUGGUGCAACCACUCUGCUACUGUCAUGGUUUUGACAGAGAGAGGGGCACAUAGCAAGUUGACCUUCUUGCUGCUGCUACUACUAAGAAACAGGGAAAUAAAACCCAAAAAGGGGCAGUGCACCACCGGGGACUCGAACCUUGCACCUCUCGUUGACCAACAGGAGUCACUACCACUGCGCUACUGCAUCGACAUCUGAUAGAGGAAGGACCUGAAACAAGAAAUACCAACACUAUCGCUGUCCCUGCUCCACAACUGCGCGCCGGCAACACAGAAGACGCCGUGGCGAGCAACUGCUGCCGCUGCACCGCUCGAGGGCGACCUGCCGAACUGGGAUGGCGCUACGAGGGGAGGAGGAACCCUACUACCACUACCAACUACAAACCGUGCCUGCAGAGAACAACACGCACACAAGCUGAAGAAGCUACUGCUUUGCUUCGACGGAGGUGCACGGCGACAGGGAGUUCGCCGGCGUCCUGUUGCUGCAGGUCCUACCGGAGGAACCGAAGCAACCCGAGGAGAAGGAUCCUCUGCUACUAUCUACGCACAGCCGCGUGGCUACCUCGUCUACAUCGACACGAACGGCGGAAGUCUACUCUGCCUGCUCCAACGAUCAGUGCAACACGUACACACAGAUCCUGCUGCCGAGCAACUGCCAGAGAAGCACGGCGCAGCCAACUGCGAACCUAAGGCGGAGCCGAGGGGAGAAGGAAGGGGAGGUUGCUCCUCACCUUGGGGAAGGAAGGAGGUGAGCCGACCGGAGAAGAGGCCCGGCGAGGAAGAAGAACGACCUGCUGCCGAUCUGAAGAAGAGGAGGCAGACCACCGGGUUCAUGGCGGAGACGAGCUCGCCCCCGUCGGUGUGGCCGCUCCCCGACGCGACCAACGACGGUAAUGGAACGCGGGGUCGAGCCCCGAGCUCCUGGACAUGGCGGCUGACGAUGCUCGACGGAGACGGCGGGGUAGAUGCGGCGGGGUUGAUCUCUCUCUCUGCUACUCGAACAGAGACUUACCAGAGGGGGAGGAAGAAGAAGAGAGAAGGUGGUGGCGCACUGGAGGAAGGAGAGGGAAACCUAGGGAAGGAGGAGGGUUCCCUGCGUCUUAUAUUACCUCGGGGAGGGCGCUUGACCACUGGAUCGCGCUAUGGAGGAACGAAAGGAGGAGAUGCAGUCGUACAGAGAUGACGUUGGGAGCGGGAAGAGAGGGACGCGGGUGUGGGCUCUAUGCGCGUGAGAGGGAGAAGAUGGGCCGACCAAGGAGGGAGAGAGCCCACCUGUGGCGGCAGAUAAGGAAAAAAAUAACUACCUUAGAUAUCCUAUUUACAGAAAAACAAAUAGAGAAGAAGAAAUGCACAAGGAAAUAUACAAGUGAUAAAAAUAUCACAAGCACAUUCCUGGAGAUAGAAAAAUAAGACCUAUUUUAAUAAAACAGAAAAGGGAUUUUAGUGGCAAGCAAAUAUUUACAAAAACAAUAUUUAUACCACUGUUUUGUGAAUAUAUAGCCCCUCUCAAACAAAGUUUUAAACAACAAAUACCUAUCUCCACAAUCACCACAAAAUAUACUAAAUCAUGGACAUUUUUAAAACAGGGAAGGAUCAAGUAAAUAUUGGGCUUGAGAUGAAAAGAGGGAGAGGGUAUGAAGCCUAUGCAAACCACAUAGUUCCUACUAGCAAUUGCACCACUCCAUCACUCACAUGCACUAACAACCAUGACAUAUUCAUCACACCACAAACACACAUGGAUUCACAAAGGCACAAACACAAGACAUAGGAUGGAUGGGAUGCAUGCAUGCAAAGGGAAAUCAAAACAAGGUGAAACACAUGAAAUCAUGGCAGAAAUGAUAACAUCAAAUCUCUGACAAGGUGGACCCACAUGCAAUAGGUUUCAAAUAUGGCAAGGUUUAUAUCUGGGGCACUACAAAAUCUCCCACACUACAAAGAAGAUCUCUCCCUCGAGAUCUAAGACUGAAAGAACUCGGGAAAUUCGGAACGGAGGUGAUCCUCGCGUUCCCACGUAGCUUCUUUAUCGGAAUGGUGAGACCACUGCACUUUGAGAAAUUUGACAGUCUUGUUACGGGUCUUGCGCUCAGUCGCCUCGAGAACCGCAACUGGAUGCUCACGAUAAGAAAGGUCAGGCUGAAGGUCGAUAUCUUGAAGAUGCACAGUGCGCUCGGGGGUCUUGAAGCACCUCCGAGGCUGAGAAACAUGGAACACAUCAUGGACAUUUGCAAAGGUUGCCGGAAGCUCGAGCUGGUACGCAAGGUCUCCCCUCUUGCCAACCACUCUGAGCGGACCAACGAAACGAGGCGCAAGCUUGCCUUUGAUGCCAAAGCGUUGCAUACCCUUCAUAGGCGACACCUUGAGAUGGACAAAGUCAUCAAGCUCAUAAGACAUGUCGCGGUGCUUGCUAUCGUAAUAGCUCUUCUGACGGGACUGAGCUGCUCUCAGGUUGUCGCGAAUGAUCCGACACAUCUCCUCAGCUUCUUCUAUCAUAUCAUUCCCAAGGAUCUGACGCUCGCCUGUCUCGGACCAGUUGAGCGGAGUACGACACUUCCUGCCAUAGGGGAUUUCAAACGGAGCCUUGCCAGAACUAGCUUGAUAACUAUUGUUAUACGAGAACUCCACAAAAGGCAGAUAAUCUUCCCACUUCAUGCCAAAAGAGAUAACACAGGCUCUCAGCAUAUCCUCAAGAACUUGAUUCACUCUCUCCACUUGACCACUGGUCUGAGGAUGGAACGCUGUGCUGAAGCGGAUCUUUGUGCCCAUAGUAGACUGAAAGGAGUCCCAGAACUUGGAAGUAAAGAUACUUCCGCGAUCUCAAGAGAUCAUCAUAGGCACGCCGUGCAAAGAGACAAUCCUGGAGGUGUACAACUCUGCCAGCUGAGCUGCUGAAAUGGACUCCUUGACUGGAAGGAAAUGAGCCACUUUAUUCAACUUGUCGAUGACGACGAAGAUAGCAUCAUUGCCCUUCUUGGACUUCGGAAACCCGGUGACGAAAUCCAUCUCAAUGUGAUCAAACUUCCACUUGGGAAUCAGCAAAGGCUGCAAGAGACCUGCUGGGCGUUGAUGUUCUGCUUUCACCCUUCGACAUACAUCACACUCGUUUACGAACUGUGCAAUUUCACGUUUCAUACGAGUCCACCAGAAAGUCUGCUUCAAGUCAUGGUACAUUUUGGAGCUUCCAGGAUGAAUAAAGAGCAGAGAGUUAUGAGCUUCUUGCAUGAUCACCUUCCUGAGAUCACCUUUCGGGACAACAAGGCGAUCCUCGAAAAACAACGUGUCCCUGGCAUCAACAGUGAAGCACUUAUACUUGGGGAGACUCUUUCCCAUGCCAAUCUCAAACACUUUUUCAAGCAGGGGGAAACGGAUCUGGUUCGGAAGCCGGAGAUGGAAGAGAGGGUGUCGUGUCGGAUCUUCAAUCGGGGCAAACAACGGAUGCUCGGGAUAAAUCUGGACUUCGAUUGGUUUUUGAUGGAUAUGAGCUUUCCCUGAAUAAGGAUCAAAAUAUGCUUCCUAAAACAGCAUGCGCAAUGGUGGGCCGAGUACAUAGCAUAGCGUAUAUCAAGUAUCCAACGCCUUCCGAAUAAGGAAUGGAAGCCGACUUAAUAAAACUACAUCUUGCUGAUGUAGGUGUAGACAGGUAUUCUAAAAGGAGUGACAAUAUUGGGUGUAAGGAUUCUUCAAUGCAAACAUUGACCACUCGUAUGGUAGCCUCACAACCAUCUACAAGGGAGACAUCCACCUCAACCUGAAGUUCACCCACGUGGAGCCUUUACUAGUCGGAGUGGUAAGACUACAACUGAUCCUCUUCCCCAAUGCCAGCGUUGUAUGUACCACCUGCCUUCUACCCUAGCCGGCCCAAUACCUUCUCCACAGGGACCUCAACAGUCCACUACUUCUGCUGCACAGCCUAGUUCUUCUACACCAGCAGCUAUUUCUCCUAAUGAUCCAUCAUCAAUCUGCUCCACCUGUCAACCCGAAGCUGCCAUUUCCAGAACGGUUUGUGAAGUCAACUGAAGACAAGCAGAUUGCCAAGUUUCUGGAUAUGAUGACAGAUAUGCAGAUUACCACCCCCAUCCUUGAUGGUGUCUUACAGGUGCCGAUGUAGACACAGUUCUUUAAGGACCAGCUCGCAAAGAAGCGAAACAUUAACGAGCUAGAACUGGUUACUCUUACUAAGGAAUGUAGUGCACUCGUUCAAAUAAGCUACCUCUCAACUUAGAUGAGCCUGCCAGUUUCAGUAUUCCAUGCUUGAUAGGAAGUCAAACUUUCCAUGCUUUAUGUGGUCUUGGGUCUACUGUGAUUCCCUUCACUGUCUACGAGCCACUACCAUUGGGUAAUGUACGGCCGACUAGCAUCACUCUCCACCUUGCUGAUCAGGAUCCGGCAGACAUUUUGGGUGAUAUCCCUGCGAUAGUUGGUAACUUCGCAUUUCCAGUUGAUUUUGUUGUCUUGGAGAUGUAGGAUAAGAGCUUUCCUAUUAUUUUAUUUUGGGACACCUUUUCUAGCUACUGCAGGGGUUGUCAUCGAUGUGAAAGAUGCUAAGCUCACGCUUCAAUUUGGUGAGGAGAAAGUCUCAUUUGACAUGACAAUUGGAACUCCUAUUGAAAUAGCUUUUUAUGGUGAAAUAGCAAUUCAAGUAGGAUUGGUAAAAAUUCAUAAAUAGCGUAAUACCUUUUUCCUUCCUGAACCUUUUCGUUUUAGUAAGUUCAUGAAAUAUUUCAUACUAUUGAUUGAUAGUUUUUUAAAGGGAUUUUACCAAGAACUUCCUGCGAAAGGGAGAGUGAGCUGGAAAUAGGAUUUCUGAUCUGGGAAUGUUGGUUUCUGACGCAAAGGAAACUUUAGGUUAAGAAAUCAAACCCAAGCAGGUACAAACAUUUCCCAUAGUGGUUGUGGUUGCUAAUGGUCAGAACAUAAUCAGUAAAGCUGUGUAUCGGAGGGGGUACCCGGAAGGUGCAAGGAGUGGAAUUUGAAGCUAAACUGCAAAAUUGCCACUGGUUGCCUAUGACAUGGUGCUAGGAAUGGAUUGGUUGAAUACUCCGCUGGGGAACACGAAGGUGAAUUGGAAAGAGAAAUACAUACAUGUCUUUAGGGAAGGUUCAUUGGUAGAAAUCAAAGGGGUAGCAAGCUCAGUGGCAGGAGAGCAGCAUGGCUUGAUUCAGUUUCUUCUUUCUAUUGAUUUUCAAAUAAUAUGAACUCUAUCUGAAGUAUUGAUACUUUUUAGUAUGCUUUCAUUUUGCUGGGAGGGGAACAGACGGGGGUCAGAGGGGAUUUUCUCAAGCUUGUGACCUGAUCUUGACCCGAAACUACUGCUCUUUCCUUUCCCAUCUAUAAACCAUAGUCAGCACUUAGCUAUUUUAAUGAAACCACACAAAUUGGUUAGUAUUUUCUGUUUUGACCAGGGAGCCAACCCAAUCCAUUCGCCGCAGAAAAAGAGAGGCAAAAUAGGGCAAAUAAACUGAAGCAGAUGAACGGACGACCAAUCGACUACAAGAAGAAAUGAGAACUGUUUUUCUAUUUGGAACUCCAAAGUCAAAGAAUGGUUUUUCACUUCCGCCUCUUUGAAUCAAAAGGGUCUUCUUCAACACAAGCAAUAGCCUCAAUAGCAAGCUUUCUUCCCACCCUCUCUCUAAAUGCAACAGAGUCCUACCAUGGUAAGGUCAAGCGCCCUACUUGCUUGUUGACACGUGAGAGGAAAUAGGAGUAAUAAGUGCCAGGAUUUACCACUUUCGAAGAAGUACUGAUCUCAAAGAACUGUCCGGCCCACUUUCAGGUUAUGAAGGUCGUUGAGAACAAAAGAUGUAGUUUCUUUCCUCUCGAGAGGAGGCGCGGCAGAGAUAGACAGAUCAUUACAUCAAACUAGCAAUCAAGAUAUAUAACUCACCUUUCUACUACGAGAAUAGUAUAGUGGAUCAAGAGCCGCGCCGCCAACCUCAAACUCUUCAUUCCAGGCCAAUAGUUUCGCUAUAGUGACUACGUACCUUUAACACAUUCUUAUUGAGGCUAAGCUUCAGGCCAACUACGAAUUGAGAUUCGAGAGCGGGGUGAACUUCAUCACUUCGAGGGAAGCUUUCUUCUCCGGGACAACUCCAGAAAGGAAAGAUAGACUGCAGGCUUGAAAUAUAGACAGAGUUUGCUACUAAAGGCUCGGCUGAAAAGGCUAACUAUCUUUUGAUUUCGCGUUCUUGAGUAUGGAGAAGAAGAAAAACGAGUCUAGCCCGGGGACUUUCAGUAACUUGAUGGAAGAAGCUUUCAAAAAGAGGCUCAAAGGCUUUUUACGUCAGUCAUCUCUUCAAACCUUCCUGCAACUUCUUACUUCCCUUUUGAAUUGACCUUCAAAGCUGGCUUUACCUAUUUAUCUUGACCAGAAAGGAAUUGAUAAAGGGGAUGUUAUAUCCAGACCAUAGACAACGUUUCAACUUUCACUUAGGAAGGGGGAAAGCUCUACUUAGCCUUACGUAGCCUGUCUUAGCCCACCGGCUUACCGAGCUCUACGUCACUUUGAUUUCAAUGUUAGGCUAGGAUUCUUCUUUCCCGAAGGACCUCUCACUCUCUGGAAUGUCUGAUUAACCGCUGCUUAGUGGUAUCGAAUGAUACAAAGUUGUUCAAGGAGCUAAACGCGAACACAAGAAAUUGCGUACCUUAGAUGCCAUAAGUUUUCCUUACCGAGGGAAAAAUCAUUGGGACUACUUUACCCACCCUUAUUACCAACCUCAUCAUAAAGAGGACCCAUAAGGACAAUAUGCGGAUCUUCUCCUUGCCUUCCUUACAGCUACGAGAGACGAAAGGUGCUUCUGGAAGCUGAGAGAAAGACACCAUGAUCUACUGCCACGGUAUGAUACCAAUGAACAUACUUGAGGCACUGUUGUUCCCUUUUACUCACAAUGGAAAGAAAAGAGAUGCAGAAAGAUUUUUCUAUAAAAAAAAGAAUAUAUAAUGAUUAUAGCCGUGUAUGUAGUAGGAAGAGGAAAGAAAGAAUUUUUUCAACUAUGUUGUCAACUAUUUAUGCUCGUUGCUAGAGUGAAAUAAGUUUCUUCAUGCGCUUACGAAUAAGCAAAAAGAAUAAAUUCUUACUCAAGUAGUUUGGUUUGUAGUUUAGUUUUUUUAUUGACUCUAGUAGUGUAGUUAGCAUGCCUUCCGUUCCUUGCUUGCUUAUGCACUUUUUAAUUAAAGACGACCUUUAAAUUCAUUAUUGACUGGAUAAAGUAGUAUUAGUUAAUAUACGCUGAUUCAGACAAAUCAAAAAUAAGAGAUAGUCUUUUUCGAUACUGUAUGCUGGGGCAGACCUGUAGGUGAGCACAAGCACACCCAGCCUUCCACCUCUUUAUACUUAUGUUUAGCAGUGUACCUGGUCUUACUUCUUUUUCAGUUUACGCUUGUGUCCCAAGCUUGCAAGUUCGAAGAAGAGUAUUGUAUUGACCUAAAUCAAGUUGUUUGCCUACCCGCCGUUAUGUCUUAGCUAGGAAUGAGCUGUGAACAAAAUCAAAAUAGUUGUUACUUGAGUCGAUAAUGACUUUGUGUCGGUUUGCUAUUUUCUAUAAAUUGGACUGGUACCAUGUAUUGUAACAUAAGCUUUUGUAUAAGAGCUGAGAUGUGGUUAAGAUUACACUUGAUCCUCUCUCUGUUUUGUUGCUUCCUUCCAUUAUCUCCAACAACUGGUAUCAACACUAGGAACCUUCACGGUCAGGGUUUAUUUUAUUAGACCACUAUGAACACUUGUAAUUGGUUCUUUCUACUUCAGGCAUGGUUCUCUCUAGUUAGUGGAAGAGUGUACAACAUAGGGAUUGGUAUCAGUCACACAUUUAGGAAAGAAAGUGAAAGGGGAGGGCAAGAGCGGUUCGAAGGUCAAUGAAAUGAUAAAAAACCACCAGGUCGAGUUCGCUUCUCCCUUCCUUUUGGUGUUUAGGAUGUGAAGUUGAUAUAAGAAGAGAGGAAAGGGGAGCUGCGCUAAAUGGAUAAUUUCAUCCUGGUGAUGGGCUAUUCCAAUGGGCAUGCAUCUGAGAUAUGGGCUUUGAGCGUAGGAACGCCCACCUUUACAAGAGCUCAGUUCUAAGAUUGUUUGCGUGCAGGCACCACUACUAUUCUGUCUUUUCUUGUUAUGCAUCCGGUCCUAUAAAUCUUUUUUUUCUGACCGGAGGAAGAGAAAUAAAAACGUCACUUCGCUCGCCUUGGGGGACCUAAUUAGGAGCUGAUUGAUUUCUUUAAUAGAUAUGAAGAUGCCUUGAAUGAACCCAAGCAAGCCGAAAUAGAAUACUAUAAGUAUGAAGUGGACAUCUAUGGUUUAAUUGGAAACAUCUCUUUUUUAUUUAGAUUUUGCCAGUGCCUCCCUUUGUGGCAGAGCGAGCGCCUUGACUAAGAUAGAUUGACUCUUUCAUUAUUUUAUUUUAUUUUAUUCUGGUUCCAAUCGUUUGAGGAAAACCCCCUUUGGCAUCAAUGAAACUCUGUUAUAUAGGAGUUCAAAAACCUCAUUUCAUUUGAGAGAUAGUGGAAUUUCUUCUUUCAACACGUACAUCGACGAGGGUGUCGAUGACUUGAGUGAGGAAUGGUCAUGUGCUAGAGGCCGUACCUUUGGAGUAAGACCUCAACAAGGGGGUGUGCAGUUUAAAUGUAAAUGACGAGCAUGGAGAGGCCAAGGUCAUUUGUAAUUAGGUGUGGCUGAUGCAAGAAGACUGGCGAGCUAUCCAUGGUGAGAAAAGUUGUGAUGCUACUGCAGGGGGCAUCCUGGUGUAGUUGAGGGCGCAGAACUUCUGUGCGGGUACAACUGGCACUUAAAAGACCUUUCGUGUAGAUGAGUUCUCUUGAGUGAGACUAAUCGAGUUACGAAGAAACCUUUGCGAUGGUGCUGUGCAGUUGGGUUCUCUAUGGAGGAACUUCGUUGUGGGGACCAAGGGGUCUUCUUAAGAAGAGUUGCUUUGAUGAAAAGAGUGUAGCCAUGAUGGCAAGUCAAGGUGGGGCCCUGUGAAGGCAAGCGUUCUGUAUGUUGGCGUGAUGACGAGAGAAAGGAAAUGCCCUGGAACAAUAGCUGUCCGUAGCACACCCUGCAAUGACUUCGACCAGCAGACCAGCCUAUCCAAUACCCUACGCCAUGACCUUAGAAGUUCGUACCCCAUGAUAUUCAAUGACACCCGUAGACAUUUGAUCAUUCAUACCUCACAGUACGCUUUCUUUCUUUUUUUGGACUUUGAAUUCCAAGUGAAGGAAGCUCAGUGAAAGAUAGACUGGGAUUUGACAGCAAGAAGAAAGCAACCAUAGUACGUGGCACACACCGCUGAUGAAUGAGAUUGACGUCCCAAACCAACAUAGGUUCAAGACUAAGUGCAGAACCAAGAAUGCCGUGGAUAGAAAAGUGACUGCUUCCUCAAGCUUCAUGAAGGAAGGGUCCAAGGACCUAAGCGACAACCUCUACGAAAAAGAAAAACCUAUAUAUAGAGAGUGGUAUGUGUUCGCUGACACUAAAUAGACUUGGCUCGGGGCAGAACUGAGUGGCUAGGCUAAGUUCCCUAGUCUUCUAUUGUCCUACCCACCCCUACGACAUGGAGGCGCUUACCCUUCUCCAACAAGCGUUCCACCACGCUGCGAUUGAUUACCGCUUUCCGUCUCGAUCCAUUCCAGACCAAGCCCCUUCUCUGAUCGGGGGAAGGUCAUUAUAAAACAUCAGAUCUCCCAUUGAUGUUGAUCAAAAAUAAGUUUAUCCACCUAGAAUAUAUUCUAGGUACCGAAAGAUUGGAUGUCAUUUCUCAAAACCAGGCGGGACGAGCAGCCCUAUACCACGUGUAGCCACACUCUAGUGUCCUUUUCUACUUGGUUGGACAUAUCACUUCAGAAAAUCGUAUAAAGAUCAAGCAAGAAAACGGAUGCGCUAACGCGCGCAACGGCUUUCGCGCUAGUUGCUCAAAAAAUCGUAUAAAAAUUCAAGCAAGAAAAAGGUUCUGGCAGGCUGCGUGGGACUGUAAAUCCUCUUUCGCUGGCUGGGCCCUUUGGACUCGAAAUCCAAACGGAGUGAGUGGUUCGAUUCCACUCUCAGAACGAGACUGAACGAAAGAAAAUGCAAGUGAAACGAGACGAGAAUCAAAUUGUAGGCUUCUUUCCUAAAAGCGGUGGUUCUCGCCUCCCCGUGCCCAAAGCGGGGUGGGCGACAGCGCUGCGGUUCUUUUCUUUAUCGAUCGGUCGUGACGCCUUUUCCUUUUGUAUGAGAAAGCGCUACAAAACAUCCUUCUCGCGGGUUAUCUUCUACUCAAGCAAGCUCUCUCCUAUUCUUCAUCCACCAACUAGCAGGAACGUAGGAGCACAAGAGGGUCAUCAUCUUCUGAAACGAUUGGCUUUCGAUCUGCUUUCCAAGAGGUGGUUUCUGACAUGACCAGAAAGAGUGGAAUUCUUGUUAGGAUUGGCAUGUCAAGUUGCUUUCUCGGACCCUAACAUAAACCACCUUAUCCUCACUAAGAUUGUUCUUUUGGACUGAGCAGAAGCAUGACCUCUAUAUGAUGUUUUCUCUAUCCCUUCUAAUCUCUCAAUGGCAUUUCCAUCUCUGGAUUCAAUCAAUCAAGUAAGUCCAGAUGACACUUGUCUUUAUUUAGUGUUUCCCCGGCUAUUCAGCCAUUACUUGCAUCUCAGGUUCUUUGUACCCUUUUUUAGUGCCAUGCACACUGAGGUUUCUGGCAUGACCGAAUCUUUUGAGAAUAUCGCUUAUUACGUUAAUUUCUUCAUCUUGAUGUACUCAAUCCAUUCAAAUUCCAUAAUUCCAAUGCUAUAGUGUCGUUUUUGAGUUCCUGUUUAACGACGUUGCAAGUGUAUUUCAGCAGUGGAUGUUCCCUUCUUUUGUUUUUUGAUUUACAUGUUUUGGCUCGCUUUCGUCUUUUUCUGCGGCUAACUAGUAUAGAAAAUCCAAGUGGACGUUGUUCUUAAACUCCAUAAGGAUUAGAAGGUGGUUCUAGCUCGUUGGAUGGCAUUCGUAAGCAGCUAUGAUAUUUCUUAUCUUUGAUUAAGCGAAGCGAUCUGGGAUCUUUCAAGGAAUGAGAUCCGGGUAUAUAGUCAUGAUCUAGUGUUUAAGAAUUUUAUGACCGACCUCCUUAUGAGUCAUUUUCUUUACAAUGAAAUUCCGUUAGCUCUGUUUCGUCGCUUCCUCCGGCAAAAAGAGGAUAAUCGGUACCCCGCUGCUUGAUCAUUAAACCUGAAAGGGGAUUUUUUCUAAGAAAAAGCUAUCCAUCUAUAAAAGGCCAGAAGGAAUAUUUCCCUGGAUUGACUAGUAGUGAAGAUUAUACAUCAUAGGUGCGCCCCUUGACCCGAGGAAUUGAUCGACAAAUCAUAGGCACCAACUGGACCAGGGCAUCUAAAUUCUUGUUAAUAUCUUCUUCGGCAAUUGGCACCUGGUUAUAUCCUGAGUGGGCAUCCAAGAGGCUCAAUACAAGCUGCCGAAUCUACCAGUAGGUCAGCUAUCGGGAUUGGAUACUCGUCCUUUGGAGUGGCAAGAUUCCUGUUUCUGAAGUCAACACAUAACUGCUGACUUGCCAUUCUUUUGAAUCACUGGUUCAAUAUUUAGAUAUCCCUUGAUGUUCAACUUCAAGGCUAGGGCUGAGAUGCUCCGUUAGUGAAAGACCAACAAUCCAAUCCAAUAAUCUUCUCGUUUCAUCAAUCCAAGUCAGAAGUGGCUUCGAAUCAAGUCAUUUUAGUUCAUCCUUUUUUGAUCGAUGAGAAAGAAAAGAGAUAAGGGAUUAUGCCAAAGAAAAGAAAUAAGGGAUUAUGCGGCUCAAGUCUCUGAGCUUGAUUGCACAUAGGGUGAGAGAAAUCUACCUUCUACUAAGGUGUACUAUGUGUAGGGCCCUGCUAAGUCUUAAAGACCAACUUGAGGACUCAAUCCAACCGCUGACUGACUUCUCGAUGGCCCGAUAAAAGCAAUUAGAAAACAAAUAUAAGUAGUUCCACACACAGGGCUUUGUUUGAAAGACAGAGGUAUGUUCGUAAAGGUAGGCUAGGCGCAGCGCAAUCCUUAGAAAGCAUACCUAGAUUCAAAGCCCACUCUUUCCUUCAGCUUCCACCGAUGUCUUAUGCGGCAAAUAACCACCUAGGGAGUAGAAGUUUCUUAUUGUUUUCGGUCUUUUUUUCGCCUAGUUGUCUCUAUUUCGAUUGCAUUCUAUGUCAAUAGGUUUUUUUAGCUUUAUCGAUGUCAACAGGUUUUUUUAGCUUUAUCGAUAACUAUAACUAUCUCCUCUUGAUGGAAGAACAAAAAUCUCAUUUGAUUCGCUAGGAAUAGGAAAAAUUGGAAUAAGCAGAUGGGAGAUUGGAUUGGGACGAUCAGUUGGUAUUCGAAGAUCCUUUGGGCUUAAAUGAAAUAGACUAAUAAAGGCAUUCGCACAGAGCACACGAUUUGCUAACUAGUCAGGAUUCAGAUUUGGUAGUUUGGAUCAGUGAUAUCAUGACCUGAGCAGGCAUCCUUCACCUCGGAAUUUCCCAUAUUAUGAACAACCAAAGCUCACAUGGAUGCUGCUUUCUGUCUCGGAUACUGGAAUUGGCGCAACUGGAGCAAUUAUCCGAGAUGCAGCGGGCAUGUUCAUUGUGGCCUGCAGUGUUAUGCUCCCUCGGGCAAUUGACGCGACAUCAGCGGAAGCAAAGACAAUAUCUGUUGAGGGCGAGCCCCGGUCCCGAAGAUAUGUGAUUCUAAGUAUGUUAUCGAAGCGUUAAAGCGAGAAUUCACAUCUGUAAAAGAUUCCCACAUUCCGUGAGAUUCGUUGCCUACCAAAGAAAUGUGCAAAUAAGCCAUUUUAUUCGAUUUUGCCUCUGCUGAUCCUGCUCAUGCUUUUUUUUAUCAAUUGGUAAAGUCUCUCAGCCUUGCAAAGUGGAAAAAGAGAUGGGCAUCGGAUCCAUGUUUCGCUAAUCCCGAGCUUGAAGAGAAGUGAAUGCCCGUGGGGAAACGAAGAAGGCCUAGGGUUAUCUAUUGAAAACCAUGCAUGCCCAGAUCUAUUACGAAAGUUGGAAAAACACAAUGGCCAAAUGCACUUAUUUUCGAAGAAGAAUGAGGCAAUCGAUCAUCCGGACGAAAGGGAUAUGGAAAGUGGGCUUGUUCUUCACUCUAUAAGUAAAUAUAACAGGCAUCCAUGGUUAACAAGUAGAGACUUCGCCUUUCUCUAAAGAGCCCAAGAUGUCCUGCUAAAUAAGAUGUAUUGUGAGCACAAGAUGGACCUGAGCUCCUCUCUUAAACCAAGGCAUACUCUACUGGCUUUCCCUUUGCCAGGAUUGGAAAAAGAUAUAGAGCAUCCUUCUUGUCCUCGAAAGUAAUAGUUGUAUUAGAUAGUUCCUCAGUCAAUUUUUUUAGUUAUUGUUUUGUUUUCACUUCAAACUUAAAUGUUCUUUGAAUCCCCUCUUUAAGGCAUAUAAAAUUAGUACUCUUCCUGAGCUAGCUUAAGCAUAUCUCGAGCGAGUGAGUUUCCUUCCAUCAAGUUUUAAGCGAUCAAAUAAGGUCCUUGCUCUCGAGCCAAUGCCAAUACCAAUUGAGAGGGUCUAAACGAUGGAUUCAAAGGAGGUUAAGGGCAAAUGCAAUCUCUGAGCCAGUUGGUGAAAAAAGGGCAUCAAAGAAAGUGUCAGUUGGACUUUCCCUGCCAACCCUACCCAAAUUUCAUACCCAGCAGUUUUCGUGCCUCUAUUGAUAUUUCGUUCCUCUCCUGACGUCGAGCGACUGUCGUUCCCGGGUCUUCACUAUUUGAUAGAAGCCUACAUACCCUCUCUUCAAUCCCCCCUCUACCCUACAGGUAUAGGAGGCCUCGGUAUCUCGAUUUGCAAAGAUGGAUACCUACUCUGCAUAUUAUCUACAUCUACAGCACAGGUUUGUGCGUCCCCUUCGUAAAUGAUCUCAACAGGAUCUGGAGAAACCCCAGAUCCCCCCGAAUCAUCAUCUUCGGACCCCGAAUCAUCAUCCCACCUUUUACGCUUUCGCGAAGAAGACGGGCCUGCCUCCUUAACCCCAUCAUUUGCUUCUGUGCCUUCAAGGGAUUUCAUGGAAUGAGCCUCAGGCUCGACCACGGGAUCCUCGGGAUCUGGCGUCUCAGGCUCUCCUAGCUCCGCAUGACGAUAUUUUCUCGCCAGAUUUGCGGCGGUUCUAACGAACUCGCUUUCCUCUCCCUCUUCCAGGUAGGCUCGAAAGAUAUCCUGAAGAGUAUCUUCACCCUCGCCCUCUCCAUCCCAUAAGACCCGAGUUUGUGUGAAAUCGCGCAAAGACUGCCCUUCCUCUAAAGGAACCUGGGUUCCUACUUCCUCGAAAAUUGUCUCGACGCAGGAGCUUAGCUCCGACAGAAUUGCUUCAUGAGGGGCAGACCUAGCUAUUUCCUCGCGGAGGCCAGGCAAGCCGCCAACGGGAGGUUGGUCUAGGGGAAAGUCACCCUCGUUAGGCGCUUUGGCCAUGACGAGAACGUCGAGAUCCGCCCUUUGCGGGAUUGGAUUAGUUUGCUCGUUGAAAUGCCAUAAAGCGCGAACCAACAUCCGUGAUACGAAAACCAAAAUAAGAAUGAGGAAGAAAAAGAUAUCGUGAUGUAAGUCAAUGAUCAUGGGGCAUCUGUUUUUUAGGACUCACAAUUUCCUGCACUGUGCCUGUAGUGAUUUCAGAAUUCGACAACUUCGCCUACUAAAAGAUGAGUUACAAGAGCACAAUGCUUUUUGUGGCUUCCUGCUCGGCAGAGAAGCCACGCUGCCGGGGUGGUCCUGUCACCCGGAGAAGUUCUCUUUGUCUUCGAGCUUUUAUUCCUCAAUCCACUUAUUCAUUCCCUUCUUUCAUAUACCUCCCCACCAAUAGAUAGAGACAAAUGGGAAUAACCGAACCACGUCUACAAAAUGCCAGUACCAUGCAACUGCUUCAAAGCCAAUGUGAUGCUUCUUGGUCAGAUGACCAAGAUAUUGGCGAAUACCACAUACGAUCAAGAAAAGAGUACCUAUAAUCACAUGAAAACCAUGAAAGCCAGUUGCUAAGAAAAAGGUAGAACCAUAAAUACUAUCCGAAAUAGUGGAGGGUGCUUGGUAAUAUUCCAUUCCUUGAAAGCCAGUGGAUACUAGAGCCAGUGAAACGGUUGCUACUAAAGCGUAAACUGCUCGUUUUUCCUUCCCCGCGAGUAUAGCAUGAUGAGCCCAAGUUACGGAAGCUCCGGAUGAAGGGAGAAUAGGGGUAUUAAGAAGAGGGAUUUUCCAAGGAUCUAAAACCCCAAUCCCUUUUGGGGGCCAAAUACCUCCGACCUCUACCGUAGGUGCCAAAGAAGAAUGAGAAGAAGCCCAAAAAAGCAAAAAGGAGCAUAACCUCCGAGACUAUGAAGAGAAUAGAACCAUAUCGAGGUCCUAAUUGUACAGCUUUUGUAUGAUGCCCUUCCAACGUGGAUUCACGUAGAACAUCCCGCCACCAUACGAACAUGGUAUAAAGGAGAAAUAUUAGGACCAAACUGAGAAGUGUUGCACCCCCCUUCAAAUGAGUGCAUGUACAUCACACCUCUAACACUUUUUUAUUAAAAUCCGUCGACUUUCUAAAUCGUGAGGGUUCAAGUCAAGUCCCUCUAUCCCCAAUAAAAAGCCCAUUUUACUUCCUAACUAUUGUACCAACCUCUAUUUUUCAUUCAUGGUUCAAACAAGAUUCACUAUCUUUCUUAUUCUACUCUUUCACAAACGGAUCCGAACUGACUUCUUUGGAUCUUAUCCCAUUCAUACAAAUGAACAUAUUAUAGUAUAGGCAAGUAAUCCCUAUUAUUAAGUAAGUCAUUCACAAUCCAUAUCAUUAUCCUGAUAUUUACUAAGUCCAAUUUGAGAAUACUUUUUUCUUUUUUAGUCCCUUUAAUUGACAUAGAUACAAGUACUCUACUAGGAUGAUGCAUAAUAAAUAGUCAGGAUAGCUCAGUUGGUAGNNNNNNNNNNNNNNNNNNNNNNNNNNNNNNNNNNNNNNNNNNNNNNNNNNNNNNNNNNNNNNNNNNNNNNNNNNNNNNNNNNNNNNNNNNNNNNNNNNNNNNNNNNNNNNNNNNNNNNNNNNNNNNNNNNNNNNNNNNNNNNNNNNNNNNNNNNNNNNNNNNNNNNNNNNNNNNNNNNNNNNNNNNNNNNNNNNNNNNNNNAAAAACCUCGUGGCACCAGUUCAAAUCUGGUUCCUGGCACAGAAAAAAGGAUCUGGAAAAGAAGAUAGGAAUGGGGCACCAAGGAAGGAUUGUAGGUAGGGAUGCCCUUAGAUCCGUUCUCAAUAGCUUGUGAUAAGGCAAGAAAGCUAGUAGAUGUAUAUUCGUUUCUCAUGAUAAUGAGCGAAAAGGGUGGAAUUGUGACCCGAAUACCAACCCUUGCUAUACAUCCCGAGUGUGGUCUUCGAUGAAGCAUCAUCUUGGUGGUCAUCCCAAGCUGUAGUAUUGCCAGAUUCUGGAAACUUAGAAACUAGCUUGCAAGAAAAGAAGAAAAUCAAGUAUACGUUUGCUUGUUGGAUUGAGCACUCGUUUCAGAAGAACCUUCUUUUGGGAUAACUCGUUCAGGCAAUAUCUCGCUGUGGCAGUAAUAGCCCAAUGGCUUCUAGUUGUUUUUUUACCCUUCUGGGCUCUUUUCCCCCGGCGGUUAGUUUCAGCAUAAAAGGAAGAAGUCGGGUCCGGGCGGUUCGCCUUUUUGAAUGCAGCAGUGUUUUUGGCUUUGGCAAUACCAGCUAGCUAGCUACUUACUUGUGUGGGAGUCCUAUAAAGAAAAGCCUGAGUUAUAGACUGACUAAAGAAAUCCACCUAAGCCGUAAGUUUUUGUUACAGUUGGCACACCUCCUUGCAAACUCGACAAUCUGAUUCUAGUAGAAAGUGGACUAAGUCUUAAGAGAGAUAAGCCGGUCUUUAUACACUGGCCCUGCUUCGAAUUCAUUCAGUGGCUAGAUGCAUUGUAAGCAAUUCCAGUCCCAGUUGCUGAGGUGGCGUAGUCACCCUACCUAAGUAUUGAACAAAACCAACCAUUUGUAUAAUAUUAUCCUAUCUUGCAUAUUAAUUAAGACCACUUAUUAGAUCAAGGUUGGCAUACAUAGCAUAGGAAGGUGGAGAUCUGAAGUAAUCUAUAUGUCCCUCAGCUAGUCAUCCAUUUCUCUGGAUAUGAAGUUUACAACAUAAAAAAAUGACCCUUUUCAUAAUGAAAUCCAUUACAUGCCAUCCAAAGAACUCUGAUCUGGAUUACCAGCUUUGGGAUGGAAGGACGGAUCGAUCGACCAAGCAACAACGAUCCCUUUACGAUGGUCAAGUGCGAAGGUCCCGAUCGGAUUGCCGAUCUGCCAGUGUUGUUUGACUGAUUUUUUGCAUCUCAAAACCAUUGAUGCUGACCUGUCACUGCUCAAGUGAUUUUCCUGCAUGGUUCUAGGAACCAAAAGAAGACUUUGGGUAGGUCAACGAUAGAUUCUAUGUCUAUAAUGGAACGUAGGUUCUUUUUAGGAGGAAAGCUUAGAAGGAUUCUUUUCAGAGCGUAAGAACCAUCGAAGAGCAUGGGAUUGGUAUUGCUGGCAGGGACUUUAAAGUGAGAGCUUGAUCACUAAACCCCUGCUGCUUUCGAUCAUUCCUGCUAAAGCAGUUGGCAAUGACUCAUUGGAAACUUCUAUUGGAUCUGGGAGAAGAAGAAAUCCAAUCAAUGGGUAGGUAGUCAAUUUCUGGCGAAAGCACAAACCUUUUCUCUUACUUAAGGCGAUAAAAUCCAUUCAUUUCGAUAAUAAUUUGUUUGAGAUGUGUUUUACCGAGAAGGUAUAUGGUUUACGGUUCUAAGCCGUUGAGUUCGUGUUUUGGUAGUUGUUGUUUUGAAGGAUGGCGGAUCCAGAGUUGAAGGAUGGCGAGAAUCAUAAUUACAAGAAGGCAACUACGCGAUUCAAUAUCAUUUUUGUAAGAAUGGAAGCAAGACAUAAAAAUUGCUAAGCUGCUGUGACCAGAGGUCGGGAGGCAAAGACGAAAGGGAUGCCCUUUCUCCAUCUUGACCGAAUGCGUUAUCUGUUGUCUCUAUUCCUAUUAACCCUUGGCCGCGUAUACCAUUAUCACGAGGGCGAUACACAGAAAAAAACCAAACCAUCUGUGGAACCGUUCGAUGAACGUAGGUCGGUCGGAAAGAAAGCGCGGUGUAGCUGGCAUCAGCAUCUCUUGUCAGGUUCGCACGCACAAGGGUGGUGAGUAGGUCUCUUUACGUGUCCCGUGAGGCAAGGAAUUCUUUGACCAAUGAUAUCAUGGUAUCAGAGUCGCCGAUCGAGAUUUCUCAUGGCUACCCAUUAUUUUCGCUUGAAAGAUCUUCACAUGUAGGCGGAGCCGUCCCUUUUGAAAAGUGGAUCUUUAGUCCAUUCAUUCUAAGUACUUUAUUAUUUAUUCUGUAGAAUAAGAAGGUUUCACAGGCAUGUGCUUCAUGGCGAUAAGUCGUAAAGCAUGGAUAGGUGGAAAUGCGCUAUAAAGAUUCGGCAUCGCUCGAUCAAACAAAGGGAAAAAUCAUCAAGAAUCUCAUCUUGCUCUGAAUCAUCUACCAAGGGUUCACUGUCAAUGCAAUUUGAGUUGGCCAACUCCGGUGCCUCUAAGUCAGAAGUAUCUCUAUUGGCAAGCUCUCAUUGACAUAAUCCGGUGUAGGUGUAGGGAGCUGACUCUCAUGUGGAUCAAGAAAUAUCUCCGUAGUGCUCAGGACAGGCUGUGAGCAUCUUAUCUGCUUGGAUCAGGUAACCGCUUCAUUUCUUUUCAGAAGCUCAAACACAGUGUUUUCCAAUAUAGAAGCGGAGUAGUUCUUGUGCAAUCUAGGCAUAGGGCUACUAGAAUCCAUCACUAAAAGAGGAGUUUUCCGAGCUCUAUCGACACAACAGGACUCUAGAUAUUGGCAACAAAAGGGCACUUACCCCUAAACUAGAUUACUCUUCUUCUUCCUAUGAUAAAGCGGGGGCUGAAAGGGACUCUUUAAAGUACUUCAACGUUAUCACUGGACUUUCGUGUCAAUCCAACUGGAGGAGGGAAAUCGGGAGAAUAAAGAAGUCUUGCACGAGGGCGGCCUCUUUCCAUGCCUUCAAAUCCAUUUGCCACACUUUCAGAUCUCGGAUAUACAAUGAUGAAUCCUGACGAUCUACGAUCAUAGAACGCAGUAAUAUGAAUGUCUCUCACGAGCCCCAAAGAUUCAAUCAAGUAUGCCUGCUUUGUUGGCACAUGGAAAGGUAGAACGACCUUCCGCCAUGUCAACCGCUCACUAGGCUUCUUGCUGCGGUGAAGUUGCUUCAUCACCCGGCUCAACAUCAGCCUCAUCCCCCCAUUUUAAGCUUUGGUUAUAGUAUCCUUUAGUUCCACUUCUUCAGCGAUCUCUCCCGCAAUCUUCUUUCCCCACUCCUCAUCCAAGUGAGGAGCUACCCGAGAUCAUCGAAACCCACCACACAAACCCUAACUGGCAAAACCGAUCUACGAACACCAAGGGAUAUUUAAAAAAAGAAGUAUGAAUCCGUGUCUUCUCUGCCAUUUGAUUUCCUUCACCACUAGCACUAGCCCCGCGAGCUACUAGAGUAUAGCAACUUUCGCUACCUUGACUCUUCUUGUUAUUAUCCAGACCCAUCAAGUCAUUCAAAAGCAAAGAAAGAAAGAUGAAUAAGCAAAGCGAAGGCCAAGCCUGAUCUCCCUUUCCCUUGAUAUGGUGGACUCCUAAAAUAGGCUUUCUUUGUUCGUAUGAUUUUGCAGAAUACUAUAAUAAGCCACUCCUGAAAAUGGGCUGGCUACUCGAACCAAAUAUUGAACUUGCUCUUUAGCAUAGGUAGACUUCACUACCUGGAUAGGUCAGCCUCGUUCCCAUUUCUCUGGUCCUAUUUUUUUUUUUUUGGCAAGUACCAUUCCUGCUAUUCACAUUGAUUGAGUACUUUAUAGUUUUCUUCUUGAUGGAAGUGUCAAAUACUUAGUAGGAAGUCCCGGUGGGUAAUCACCAAAUGUUCUAGUACAAGUACAUCCAGUUCGGGUGGUCAUCUAGUAUGGGACCUAAGAGAAGCCCUUUUUGAAUCCUUUUAUUAAGCCAUUGCUAAUCCCGUAAGGCAAUCCUUCAACGUUGUAGAAAAGAGUUCAAUACAAAAGCACACAAAGGCUUUGGACUAUGAAAGGCUACCUUUAUCAUGCAUGAAUAAGUCCAGGAGAUUAUGUCCUCAACAAACCUAUCUACUACUAAAUGACAAUUAAAGGGACGCCAACCAUUGGAGGUGAUACUGGUGAUGGUAAUGGUUUAGAUUCUUCUCUUUUUCCUGGGUACAUAAAGAUAAGAAGAAGGCAAUGAAAAGCCCUUAGAAAAGGCUAUGAAGAAACUGAUCCACUAUUUGUUUGAAACCUGUCAUCCACGUUAGAAAGAGAGCCAUGAAAAGCAUAGAUCCUCAAGGAAAGGAAAAAACACCACUUCGUCUAUUUACGAUUCCCAUAAACCAGGCCGUGCUUUCUUUUAUUUAGUAAGCUCAGCCGAAGAGCCCUGGACCGGUAGCACCUGCAAAUGAAACAUGCAUGCCUUUCGCUGCGCGCCUUUACUUGCUUGAGAAAUCAAACAAUGCAUUUCUUCUCAACAUAAGCAUAUACCGGUAUUUCUCUCUAGCCUAUACUUGACCUUGCGUACAAGCCUAUUGUCCUAUCGGUAUGCCUAUGUGACCCAUAUGUGCUAAACCGGUACUUGUUACUUACUUCUAUCUAUUAAACGUUACCGGUACUUAGUUACCGUGACUUAAUCAUGCUUUGUACUAAACCUUACUACGUAGUUCAAGCUAUACUGACCUUUCCAUGUUUUGUACUCAUCACUUGCCUAUGAGCUUACCUGUGAAUACUUUGUCCAGCAGCCCUUGUUUCUAAGCACCCAUCUCUUGCUUUGCUUAAACUCCUCCUUGCAACCAGAAACCUAUCGCCCCUCUCUUUUCAAAACAAACAACGCGGAGCGCCUUGUGAAGUGAAAAGAUGAGCUAUGAUGACUUGGCUUCCUUUCUUCUUUUCCUUGUGCAAGUCAACUGUUCCCUGGCACACCUUCAGUUCAGCUGUGACAUCUUGCACUUGUAAUAUCACUUGCUUGCCUUUAUGCUUGAGUUUUAGCAUUCCUUUACUCCAAGUCAACUGCCAUUUGACCAAAACUUGACAACCAGUCAAUGCCUAAAAUAAGAUCAUAACCAAGUACAUUGUAUAGUUGUUAAGCAAGUAGUGCUUUGAAGCAAGAAUCAAGUAGUUGUUAAAGAGAACCUAUAGCAAGAAAGGAGAAUCAAGCCUAUUGCUUGCAACGAGAAGAUUAGAAGAAAUCCUAUUGCUUAGAAUCAAUGCAUAUGCUUCAUAUCAGGAGAGACAAGUCAGAAAGGAUAGUAAAGCCUGCAGCUCUAGUAGUGCAAACUUUGAUCAAGCUAUCAAGUACUUAAUCGUUACCGAAGAACUCCUUAUAUUAUAUAAUAAUAAUAAUGCUUAUGCCUAUCUAUUGUUAAAGACUUACUUUGCUAGGGCAGUUCAUUCAAAGCACAUACCAUUAUGGCUAGCUAAAACGAAAGAAUGAGAGUACAAGGUAUGGGUCUACGCUUCCAGCUUGCUCUAGAAAAACUUAAAUUGGAUCUCUCUCUGGUGGGAGCCUGCCAAGCAGGAAAGCUUGUUAUAGUCGUGUUUUAUUCAUCUCUUCCCCUCUCCGCAGACAAUCACUAUAACUACUUCAACCUUCUUCCGUGCUUUUGGUUCAGGAAAAACAGUGGCAAGAAAUGUUGAUUUCCCUUUAACGGGUGUACAGGACCCGAGAAAUAUGCAGGUUUCUAAUAGUGCUCACUCCAGUCGAGUCCCGGCACAGUCCGAAUGGAAGUUCAUUCAUUGGAGUAGUGCCAAGCAAGAAAGUGCUCAAAGGUAUCAUAGUUCAUAGGUAUUAACAGGAUCCUUCUUGCAUCAAUUGGAUUGAAAAUUGACGUGAUUAGCUGCUCGUCCCAAGUACCCGAAGCAGGGUCAAUCAACUCAUUUACCUUUGUGAGAAGUGUACCUCCCCUUUCCGUAGUGAUUUUACUAUUGGGACUUCCUGGAACCCAAGGGUCGUUCCAUAUGUUAAUUUGCUCUCCUGUUCCAAUUCUCCUAAUGUGUCUACGUUUAUAUGCAUAUCCAUCUUUACUGCACAAAGCCCCGGCCCAGACCUCUUAUUUUUGAUUGAGUGAAUGCAUUAAUAAGCCACCAGAAUGUUAUCCGUUAUUAAACGACCGGGUACAACAAAAGCACUCUGUGUUUGUGAAAUUACCUCAUCCAAUACUGUACGGAACUGAGAUAUUUCCUGCGGGGAUCUCACCUUUGGGAUUAAAACAAUAACAGUUCUAUUAAUGAUCUGUGGGAGGUAGCCGCUGUUUAGGAAACCAAGGACUGCAGCCGUUUUCUCGCAGAGCCGAGUCGGGCUAGUAAGAAGUAGCUACUUUAUGCAGCUUUGUAUCUGGUCCGGGACCUCAUCAUAGCAAACCAUCUACGCAUUUUUUAAACCAAUGGUCAAUCAAACAACUUUCCUCAGCCUUCUUUUCUGGUUGAUUGAGCAAGCCCUGAGACCGAGAGGGAUGCACUCCUGCAUGCAAAGGAAGAGAGGUGUAUAGAAUAGAGCCGAGAAUAUCACCUAGAACGUGCUUUUGGUACCAUGGAACGCAGUCCCUGUGACCCUAUAACCGGCGGAUCGAUCCUUGUAGGCAGCCACUCCAUUGGUUGAGAUGCAUCUACUGUCUCAUCUUGGCUAUCUACUAGCAAACCGCCCACAGGUUCUUGCAUAGUAUCACGAGUCAUGUUAACCUCUCCCUCCUGGUGCUGAAGAAUAGAAAGAAGCCAAACCCACCAGGACUUCUGUUAAAAUCAGAAAGAGAUCCGCCCACAGAUUGGCAAAACCACACUCCCCCGUUUCCAGCUUAGUGAGGGGAUUCCUUUAAUGCUUUCCCUUCAAGGGAAAACCUCUGAAAGAAUUUCCAUAUUGACCUUGGACAUAUAAGAGUUCCGAAUCANNNNNNNNNNNNNNNNNNNNNNNNNNNNNNNNNNNNNNNNNNNNNNNNNNNNNNNNNNNNNNNNNNNNNNNNNNNNNNNNNNNNNNNNNNNNNNNNNNNNNNNNNNNNNNNNNNNNNNNNNNNNNNNNNNNNNNNNNNNNNNNNNNNNNNNNNNNNNNNNNNNNNNNNNNNNNNNNNNNNNNNNNNNNNNNNNNNNNNNNNNNNNNNNNNNNNNNNNNNNNNNNNNNNNNNNNNNNNNNNNNNNNNNNNNNNNNNNNNNNNNNNNNNNNNNNNNNNNNNNNNNNNNNNNNNNNNNNNNNNNNNNNNNNNNNNNNNNNNNNNNNNNNNNNNNNNNNNNNNNNNNNNNNNNNNNNNNNNNNNNNAGAAUCUACAACGCACUAGAACGCCCUUGUUGAUGAUUAUUUACUGCGACUGCAUCCAGCUCGAAUAAUGUGAUAUCUCACACCGAGUUCAAAGAUACUUAACCCUUCCUCCUCUUACAAAUACUACAAAAUGUUCUUGUAUGCCCAAUACCUGGUAUAAGCAGUGAUUUCAAAUCCAGAAGUUAAUCGUACUAAUUUCCUUUACGUAAGGCAGAGUUGGGUUUUGGGGGUUGAUAGUGGAAAAGUCGACAGAGAAGGAUCAACAUAUCCUUGUUUAAAUAGGUCCACUAGACCUUAGCUACUUAAUUUCAUGGUAUUUAGCACGGACAAUAGAAGAUUGGAAUGAUGGUAUCAAUGUGCCGCAUUGAAAUGAGAGUGGCCAUAUCGCUAUCAAUCAAGGUGGGCCAGAUCAGCCAUCUCCACAGAUUGCUAGUUUGCUAAAAACAAUCCAGCUUUUGCCAAAAGAAAGCCAAACUCUCAUCCAGAUGCAUCUCGAUUCACAUUUCUAUAUGAUAAUAUGCACGACCGAUUCUCGUAUCUGCUGAUAUAAGAGAUUCUUUCAAAAGAUAACCCUUACCCCUAACCCCUGGGUGGGCGAAAGAUGGAGACAAUACUGCCAUUGAAGCGCAAGAGUGAGCAGCAGUCCGGUCAGCCCUUGCUUUCUCAACUUGAGCAGGAAACUUCCAACCAAAUAGGAGGGAGGGGCACUCUCAAAUAGGAAUGCAAACAUAAAACGCGUGCUCUUGAGUGUCAAUUCCUCUUCUGACCGAAGUGAAUAACAAACAUCCCUUCCAUCUGGACACUGAAUAAUGAGAGGAUCAUAGAAGUUAUCGGAAUCCGGGGCUAGAGUCUUUGGAUGAACAUCCACAGAUGACCGAUUCCCUGCGCUAGCAAGUAUUGGAUUGGAGUGGGGGUUAGUUGGCUCACCAUAUGGUAUAGAUCGAUAGAUAUAUUUGAUACGUCCUAUAACAUGGAGAUGGAGAUAGCCAAGCCCCUUUCUCGAAAGGCAAACCCUCUUUAUCAUCCAACAUAGGAUCUCCCUAUGGAAUACCACCAUUGUCUUUCUCCAUCUCACUCGUAUAUAUCGGUAUAAAUAGCUCAGCUCACGAAAUAGAGCGAGCAAGAGCUCGAACUUGGUAAGAAAGUUCGGAUAAGUCGACUCGACUCCUCAGUGCAGCGUACACUUGCUUCAGCAAAACGAGGCUCAUCCAUUUGUUUUGAUCCGAAUCACACUCUAGACCAGCUCUUCUUAUAGAGAAGGAACUCCUCUUUGACAGUCAUACGAGAGGGAAGAGACUCAAAGUUGAUGAGAAUAGUCGAUUUGACCGGUAUCACGAAUAGCAGUUUUAGUAGAAAAGGGCGUUGAUGAUUGAAAGGAUUUCUCCUCGAACCACUAGUAACUAUGUCAGCUUUUGUCAUUCUAAUGAUAUUGAAUCGGGUCAAUAUUUGGAAUAACAAUAUCUGAUCUAUCAAAUCGAUUCAUCCUUUUCCAUUGCAUUUUUCCAUUGCAUUGAAUAGUAUAACAUAGGAAUUUGAUCCAAACAAACUCCGAAUUGGGAUUUCUUAUUGGAUGAGGAAUCCCAUUGCAUUUUUCAUCCUUUUCCAUUUUUCUUCUUUCAGGCAGUUUUGGCUCGCAAUAAAGCUAGGGUCCUGAUCGAGCAAGACUACAUCCUAUCUAUCUACCUCUCCAAACACAAUAUCUUGAGUACCUAUGAUGGUGACUACAUCUGUUGGCAUGUGAUGUUUGGACAUAGAAUCGAGUCCUUGUGAAUGGGCAAAGCCAGGUGCUCUUAUUUUACAACGGUAGGGACGAUUACUCCCAUUACUGACAAGAAAGACACCAAAUUCACCUUUAGGUGCUUCAACUGUGGUAUAGGUAGAAGGAGCUGGUACGGAAAAACCUUCUGUAUAAAGUUCGAAAUGGUGAAUUGAGGUAGAGUAGACCGAUGAUCCGGUAGUCAUUUGGCCGGCUAUGGAAAGAAAAAGCUUGCAUCUGCUCCCCCUAAACUAUAACGGGUCCCAUCUCUGUCCAAACCUAACGUGGUAGUUUCCCAUCAUAAGGCUUUCCAUCUAUAGAUUGAGCCAUUACCCACCAAGGACCCCAUUCGUUCAGAACUCAGUCGAAUGCUUCUAUAGAUAAGGCGGAACGUCCUUAGUUCAGCAUUAUAGCACAUAGUCUUCGACGCUACUACAGCGCUUCGCUAACUCGAAGCGCCUCGCUAUGAGAAUGACGCGUCGCUAAUGCUCGGCUAAGUCGUCGAACCCUCGUGCUGACCAUUCGCUUUCUCAGUAGCGAAAGCGCUUCUCUUUUCCCCUUAACUUCAUAAAGUAUUUGGAAAGAAAAGAAAGAGAUUCUUGGUUUUAUUGCUCCCGCUUCCUCAUCUGCGCUCGUCAAGCCAACUUUGCUUUUUGGGAGGCGGAAGAGGGGUUAAAGCGGACAUGUCAAAAUGACAGCAUCGAAGAUAUCUAUAUACACAGGAACGCUUAUUCCGUACUGUGUUCCGGAAAAAGUAGCCUACUUGACAGAAAGGGCAGGCACUCUCGGCUCGGAGGUAGGCACUCUCGUCUUUCAACCCCACCAUCACUUUGAAUUUAGUGGGGCACUGUUUACUUACAACCUCUACGAGUUGCAAGUGAAUGGGGCCGGUGCGUGGUGAACGGAAGGGUUCAUCAAGCCAUUUAUCGCCUUAACCCCUAAACUAAAUAGGAAGAGGGGUACUUGACUAAUAGGGGGCAAUUGCAUUGCACCUGACUGUGAGGGACCUCUUGAUACCUUAUGUUCACUUCCUAACUAGUAGCCGGUUUCCUGUCGCGGAAGCCUUUUCCCAGUGCGCGGAGCCCCAAUGAGGAAGGUGUUAGUGCUUUCUCAUGGGGUCAAUAAUGCUAAUCCCUCUUUUUGUGCCGGGAAGAAGAUAAGAAAAGGCGAAGCCUUCUCUUGGUUUCCCAACCUGUUGCUUCUAAAGGCUGCCCUCUCUCGGCUGGAUUUUGGUCCAACCUACUGCGAGGAUCCCGUAUCCCGUACAUCGUCUUUCUCCCUCCUGGGUUCCCGUGGUUCCUAUGCCGCCGUGUCUCCCGGUCCUUUUCUUUUAGUGCUUCGACCCGAAGCGAUAGCUUGACGCGUUUUCCGUGGAUAAGAUGGCAGUGCUCCAGCUCACUAAAGAAUGGGACGGCAGUGGUCCGCUGGAAAGCUCGUUCUGAUCCUGGACGUAGUACAUUGGAAUCCUGAAGCACCACCACGAACGCUACCGCGCGUGCGCCUGCGGUGCGGUAAGGCACCACCCUGUUGUGCCAGUAGCCAACUCCGGCGUGUCAGCUUAGUUAUCCUCAUCAAGCCACAACCUUGAUGUCUAGCUUCCCAACUGGUAGACGGUUCCCUUUCCCCCGGAUCAAUGAAGAAGGGAGAUGUCAGUUGAUUCUUCCGAAGAACCGGAAGCGAAGCGCUAUGCCGGGGCGAGGGGACGGGAAAAGAAACAACUCUGAAGAAAGAUAUUAGGACUCCCAAUGCUUCUCCACGCCCAACGAGAUGCGCCAACCUCGGGAUGCUUUACUCCUAACCCCACGGCGGUUCCGAGAUGGAGCUUAAUCUGAGUCACGGUUAAGAACGGCGAUGAUCUACGUUUCACACGGCGCACGAUUCUAUGGAUAGUUUCAUUCGAGAUCGUGAUGGAGGACAUAGCUUACGAUCAUCGGCUUUGAUCAUGCCACUAGGCAUUUGAUUAGGACAUUGCACAAUGAUCCGAACACUUUGUCGCAUCACUUCGAUACGGAUACAGUAACGAUCAUAGCGAUCUCCUCUGGUACCUACUGGUACGUCAAGAUCCGAUUGGUCAUGAACAUCGUAAGGUGCUGCUCUUCGCGAAUCCCAGCAUACCCCAGGUUGGGAUGGGUAGGCCCACCACUUCACUUUUGCACUUUCACUUAGGCCCGGGCCAAGUCAGUGAGGGGACCCUGUCGGGCUCCUUCCCCCCCCCCCCAAAACAAAAUGUACGUGGGAGUUUCCCUUCAUACGGCUCGAAUCAUUCUCAGAUGCCCUGAGAGGCAUCUUUCCUUAUGAUCUGGUGGUUGACACGCGCGCAAACGAGCACCAGCCGCAACAACAAGGAACUAUGACCAAUAGAGUCAGACACAGAGCGUCAUACUUCUUUAUCUUGUGAUGGUUGAGGAGUUUCUUUCUCAGAGGGUGCGGGACGCUUGCAGAGUCUGUGCCUUCCGUACCACCACAAGUCGUUCUUGGGCAGAUCCCACUCCUAAACAUAAGGGAGGGAUAGGGGGAAAGGGGCCCUAAAAUCAUAUAAAUAGGGUUGUAGAAAGACCACUUUCAUUCGACGUUCCGGGGCGCCUGAUUCGAUCGACGAAUUUGGCGAGCUGAUCCGCUUUGAUCCAGGAGAAAGCCCAGUCAGCCACCUUUUCGGUGCAGGUCACGUGACCUACAGCUCGGCCUUUGCUUUUUGAGACUUCCUCUACCCACAUCUCUAUGUGCCCGCAGCACUUUCAUAUGGAGAAAGAUGGGCUUACCAUGUUCCAUCAAUAGCACCUAACCUAAGCCGAUUUUGGCAGACGGUGCUCCACCCCGGUGAACUCAUGCGGUUCCGACGUGCCCAGAGGCCAGAGGCAAAUCCGUUCACGGUCCGUAGGACCAACACCACUCGAAGGUUGAUGGCCCGCGCCGCCUAGAAUAGGAAUCUUUGACUGGGAUUACACACAUUCGCUCACUUACGUUGUCCCCCCUCAGCUCACCCUAGCCCCGGGUACGUCGUCUCCAAGGCUUCACACAAAAUCUUCACUGACAACAUAUGCAUGCUUUUGUAGGGUUAGGCAGAACCGUUGUUGCCUGAUGGGAACUUCCCCCAUAUUGCUAUCAAUGUCUUCAUGUCGCAUGACCUCUUAACAUUACACCACUGAAUCCCCAAUCCUUUGCUUGCUGUGCAGUGACAGUACCAAUAUCCACUAAUCGUUGUUUCCAGAUAGGAUUGCCGGUUGACAUCUCUUCUAAUUCGUCGAUACGAGAAGCAAAUUGUUGUGUGGAGGAAUCAAUAUCUCGACAUAAGCCAAGAGGCAGAUCUUGUGCCACUCCACCAGGUCGUAUGAAACUGGCAUGCAUCCUGGCUCCCGGGACUCUUUCAUAGAAUUCCAACAAUUUCUCCCGCUCCUCAAAAGCCCAAAGGAACGGAGUUGAUGCUCCCACAUCCAUAGCAUGAGUAGUUGAAGCAAGUGAAUGAUUCGAAAUUCGAGUUAUUUCACAGAAUAACACUCUUAUAUAUUGAGCUCGUAAUGGUACCUCACAAUUCAAAAGUCUCUCUACGGCUGAAGAAUGAGCUUGUUCUUGGGCCAUCGUAGAAACAUAGAUAGGGUCAACGACGGAACGAACAACAAAACUUUACGACAGCUUUUUCGUACACGUUCACUUGCAUCACAUACACAAGUGCUCUCUGAACCGUGCAAUAAGGUCACCCAUAACACGGCUCUCCCACUGGAUUUACCUUAGCCCCGGGCCAUGCUAUUCCAUGAUAUUGGAAAAAGUUGACUAAUUAUUAUCAUCGUCUUGAAAGUUGGGCGCCUUUUGAAUAUGAGUGGGGCUCCUAGUCUAGGCGGCGCCCUCGUGGAGCCAAACCGAAGGAAGAGCAAAAGGGCGAGGCCACACCCGACUUCGAAUAGGAGGGGGGCUUAGCUCUGGAUCCUGCCUGCUUGCAGAAAUGAAUGGAUCAGAAAGGGGGCUGGGUUCUAUUUCCGGGCCGGGUAGGAGGUGAAGGCCAGAAGAAGAAGAGAAGUGCGCCUUCCCGGUAAGGAAGAGGAUAAAAAGGUGUUGUCAUCUAUCUCGACCUGUUUCCCGAGGCGUUGGAAAUGAAGACCGGCUCAGAGAAUCACUGGCGUGCUUUCUCUCCCCCAUCAUUUCGCCAACAAAGAAGUCAUCCUUGACUUGACGAUUGACCAUUUCAUCCCUACCGAGCCGCCUCUUAGAAGUAUUUACCUCUGCCUUUCUUUUUUUAGAACAUACCCUUCAAAUACAAGAAAGAAAAGUUCCUCGUCUGUGAUUUAAUCGGCCCUAAGGGAGUUUACUCGACCCAUUCUCCAGUCUCCCGCACUGCUCAAGUGUGCGACUCCGUAUGAGGACCUCCUUCCCUUUUGCUCUGCCCACUCUCCGUUCACACGGUUAUCAAAGCGGAGGAAGGGCGGGCAGCAGGUACCACGAGCCCUCUGUCCCACACAUCUACCAAGAAGCAAGUGUAGUUCACCGGUUCCACCGAAUGCUCCUAUCUCUCGGCAAAGAUCGUGUGAGUGUGCAGUUAUGCUUCGGAUGCUUCGCCAUGGAAUAGAUCUACUCAGUUCCCCUUCUUUUCCGGUGCACUCACUUUGUAUCUCCGACACACAAGGAAGGACGCGGUGGGAAGAAAGCUGCCCAAGCCUUUGUCCGGUCGAUCAUUCCGCUGGCAUCUUGCAUUCACGUCUCCGUUUCACUGCCGCUCGGGAAUGUAGUUGUAGAUACGUGAGUCUUAGUGGGUCAUUGGCUCCACCUCUUAUCUCCUUCUACGACAUGUUGUAGUCGUCGCCAUAUUCAAUAUGUCACUUAGUCAUAUCUGCCUCGCAGCAGGUCAGAACCUCCGAAAGAAAGGGAGGGAGGACUUCAUUCAGUGACCCCGCGAUCGCCCUCUAAACGAUCAAAAUAAGGUAAAGCUUGAAGAUUAGUUUUGUACUCGAUUAAUUUCUCAGUCCCUCUAAUCGGGUGGGCGCCGACCGACCGGAUCCCCCUGAAAACCGUACGUGCGGGUCUCCCAGCAUGCGGCUCACGCCAUUUGAGGUGGCCCAGCCCAGCAUUCAUUCACAAAUCCUGUAGUGAAAUUGAGACUGCUCGACCUCGGAAGCUAAUUCGCGUGUAGGCAGCGCUGUCUUAAUACCGUUGACUGUAUCUAUUCAUUGAUACAUUGGCUCGCUCCCCCCCUCUUUUUUCAAGAAUGAAUGAGCCGCUCGGACCUUCCAUUUCCGUCAAAUGACCCGGCUUCCCCUGGCUCUUCCACCGUCCGGGCUCCCUUUCCUCCCUAUGCUCCCCCGACGUAGGCCCACCACGCUUCGCGCCUGCGGCGUUUUCGCGAGACGGUCUUUGCGAGUAGUGCCAUCCUCCCCGCAGGCUGUCUGUAUGGGUGGGUUGUCCCUUGCUGCUACGUUCUGUUAGGCGCUAUGAAUUACAGGAAAUUCAGUGGUUGACUUGGACAGCAGGCGGGUUACACGUUCCACUGUGCGGAGAUGUGAGGUGCAGGUGGUGAUGAUCACCCCGGGGUAUGCGCUAGCGCCCUUGACGGGCACUCCAGGACCCGCCUACGCUCGUGAAAACCCAGGUCGGUCCUCCGACCAGAUGUGUGGAUAACGAGGCCACCUUCACAACCUUCUCCCUUCUAUCUUUAUCCAAAGUCAGGUAGGGCGGUUCGCUUGAGUUGCUCAACCGUCCCUUUGCCCGGUGCUCAUGACGCGCUACGGAACCUCCACCGUGCUAGCGGCAUAGGAGCCUACUCAGCGUCAGUGGCUUCGUGCCGCACUGGAGUGAUCCAAUAUGUGGUUCCGCAUGUUCCACCACUUCUCCGUUCAUUUCCAAUACUGAUCGUGAAACACCAUGAGCAGCAGGAUGUUGAGGUCCGGAAUUCGAAGUGAAAUUCUUGAUUUGCCCGUUCCUAGUCGUCAUGGGAAAGAAAUAAGAAAUAAAUAAGAAAGAGAUUAUUCCCCUAGAGCUUGUCCAGUACCACCAGUACUCAAACUGCAUCUCCGCGCGUCUACCUGGCGCUUUUAUUAGCCGCCUUGCAUGCAAGCGAAGCGCUAUUGGUGGCAAUUAAUAGCUCACUGAGCGAUGAUUGAUGCAGUCAGCCAGUGCCCUCAAUUAUUCUAUUCCUGAUAGAAGGAUCAUGGCGCCCCGAAAGCAUUCCAUCCAGCAGCAGCAUCUCCUUCAACCACGCGAGGAAAAAUUGAUGUUAGCUACAUUCGAGCGUUCACCACACAGAAGCGAUCUCGAACACUACCUAUGAUAAUAAAUCCAAAGGAAAGGUCGACAAAAUGAUUCAAUCUGACUUUAUCGGUAUUCUGGAUUGAGUAAAAAAGGGAUAUAUGAAGUUCAAGGCCUUGCCAAAACUGUCAUGGCCCUAUUAUGUAUAGGCCGUACUAAGCCAAUAGCGAAUAACAAACUCUUUCCUGCUCCCUCGACCUUAAUUAACUCCCCCAUCCUGCCAAGCCUCAGCUGCCAGCCCAUUGUAUCUAAGCUCACUGCGGCAAAUUGAUACAAGUAGCUAAAGAUCUCGCAUCCGACAUCUCCAGCCGAACGGUUAGGCAACACUAGGGUGCCUGGGUCAAAAUUCCGCUUACCAAACAAGAUGUCGAGAGGCGAACUCUGUAAUUCCCCUCCUGCAAAAGUGAUAGCGGCUGUAGCAUCCGUGUGGAAGAGGGUAAGCUUUCGGCAACACCUUUUUCAGAUUGGAAAGGAUGAAUACUUGUGUUGGGUCCUGCAGACCAGGAUAGCCUCAGAUCAAAACCUAAUAAAUGUACCUGGGGUUGAUCAUAUUUUUUGGGCAAUAAGUAUUCAGGAAUUUGAGCGCUUAUGUAGCUAAAAACUCUGCCACCUGAAUACUUGAUUCAUUAAGGUCGUCACCCUAUACCCGGAAGUCUCUAUCGUUUUCUUUGUCUGUUAAGAUUCACAGGGUUGGGACUCCCUAAAUCAAACUGCAAUCGUUGUUUAUCAACCACUCACGACGACACCGAGAUCUUCGACUUAGCUCCCACAGGUCAUCCACCCGGGGCGGAAGAUAACGAAAGGGAGACAAAGUCCUAACUAAAUCAACACACAAUAACCUCAACCUUCUACCCAUUCCAUCCAUCAUAUCAGCCGAGUCGAGGAGAUUAGUUCUUAUCUAUAGAUAAGGCAAGAGAGAACUUAUGACCUCGCGGAUGGAGAGGGAUUCGAACCCCCGAUAUUCCUAUCAAUACUUCGGUUUUCAAGACCGACUCUGUCAACCGCUCAGACAUCCAUCCCUGCGCUCGCCCUCCCUAUCUAUCUGCGCGCUGGCAGGUAGGGGCAACUCUAUGUGAUUCGCUACGCUUGCUUGCGCCCCACCCCGUAAGCUGACUCUAUUGCCUAGCGGUUAGCGACAAUUUUCCGGUAGUACGAAUCGCUACGCUUUGCUUCUUUCUAUAUGAUAAUAUGCACCGUCGGUUGCUGCGCUCCCUGUGGGUAAUAGCAAGAGAGUGAAGAACGAACGAUCCUCAAAAAAGUCAGCAGUGAAUGAGUCCGACUCGAGUUCGUGAGUCAAAGGCAUGGCAAGAGAGCAAGUUCGACUCGCGAACGAUCCACAAGUGAAGGAUCGAUCCUUUAACGCCAGUACUGUUGCGAGACUCGUACUUGGCGGCUCACGAGCAACAUAUAGAAAAAGGUUGCCCAUCACUCCCUCGCUCCUUUUUGAAGGCCCACCGCUCCCCCUUUCUUUAAGUAUCUAUCCCGGCUUGCAUUUUGGGGCGAGUACUACAGUUCCUCCAUAAUCACACAGAACGCCCAGCUUCGCAGAGCUGCUCUCUCCCCAGUCCACAGCAAGGUGUGGAAUCUGGAUCUACUGUGUGUUCUGACUCUAUUGGAUCAAGUCAGAUACUAAGCCUUCUACUACUACUACUACUUAGGAGAUCAAAUGCUAUAUUUCAGAGAUUGGACUCUCUUACUGUGUUUUUUCAGGGUUGUUCCCGAGCCAGGUUCCCUGGAUCCAUUCUUACCUAAAUGGAUGAAUGAAGAAGGGGGCGAGCAGAUACGACGACCACACACACUUCUUUUUAGCCGAAUAAAGCCGGAUCUACUACACGGCUAGGAUCAGAGAAAGAUUGAGAAAGCAAGAUCAAACCUACUCUACUGUCGAUUCUAAAGGUAAACAACCCCCGAAGACUUUAUCAAUGAAUGGAUCAAAGAAGUUUAUCUAUCUAAGUCAUCGUAUAUAAGGGAAGAAGCCCGCCCCUGAUCAAAGAAUGAAGAAGCUAGCCCGGGUAGACUUUAAGAGCUCUUGCUCUGCCUAUCCGUCUCGCUCCGUCUUGGAGGUCAUAGAAAGAUACGAAGGGCCUACUCUUUUAAUUAAAGCCCUACUCUUAAUAAUAGUGAAAGCCCCCUACUCUUACCUACUUUGACUCAUAUCUUCAGUAUACCUCAAUACAAGACAAGCACUGGAAAGGAUAUUCAAGAAAAACCGGGCUAUCGCCCUAUCUAAGCGGGUUUCCCCUCUCCCUCCACACCGCAUUCGAAUUAUAGAUUGAGUUGAUCUCAUUAACCAAUUCUAGUGUCCAAAAACUACCAUGAAAUCUCCUGCGAAAACAAACCAUUCAUGAAACUCAUGAAGGAGCAUGCGGUGGUCACAUUAAUGGACAUGCGCUAGCUAAGAGAACUUCUUAAGUUAGGGUACUAUUGGCUGGCUUACUAUGGGGAAGGGGAGAAGGCAAGCCGCGUAUGGAUUGAUCCCUAAUUCAGUUCAUUUUUCGUGGUUUUCUUUCCAUCUCACAACUUCCAUUUCUUGAACCGACCUUGCCCGCUGGAGGUAUGAUUCCGAUCUUUGAAUCGAAUUGGAUUUUUUGUCUUAAAGUGAGGGCGAUGAGUGGGGAAGGAAGCUGACGAUUUUAUUAGUGUGUAAGGUGGCCCCGAGAGGUGAACCAAAGCCAACCGUUUCGAGACCAGGGAGCUUUAACAGUUUCUACUUAAACUAUGUGUGCAGCUAUGUGUUCAGAUUAUGCUAUUUUAUUAGUAGCUUUCGGUCUCGAUUCGCCCUUACCUCGGAGGGAUCAACUACUUCGCUUAGGCAAAAGAUUGAAAAAGUCUGUAUCUGUCUACAUGUGCCUCCGUCUAUGUUACCCCUUCCCCGGAAAGGAGAUUAUAUGUUUAGUAAAAAAACGAGAAUAAAAAAUCAAAAAGAAAGAAGAGAAAGAACUGGGAGUUGGCGCCUACAUAACAGGUAGCUUGCUUACCAAGCCAUCUUGGCAAGCUCCUACAAUUCUCUUAUUACUCUUGACUUGACUUAUUAAUAAGAAAACUACUCACUAACAAAAUGAAAGACGAUCUAGAAUCUACCCAAGAAGAUAGAGAGUCCCACAUACGAGAAAAGGUCACAAAUGGAGUUGAACCAAGUAACAUUGCAAAGGCAUAAUGAUAGUAGGGUCGGGAUAUCCCCGCCCUCCGAACCGGACGUGAGGGUCUCCCCUCAUCCGGCUCUCCGCAGGGGAAUCUCCACUCACUGCUUCCCCUAAUAUCCUCCCUUUACCACAUCAUGGGGGUUUACAGGAGAUCCCAGAGACUCGCUCGGAAAGGCUGCUAUACCAAACAUUAUUACUUAACUACAAAGAAAGAAAAGACUAUAGUAGUCACUAGACUGACUAUAGUAGUCCGUCCGGCUGCUCUUGCUUAAAUCAUUACUCUUCAUUCUCCUGUGCUCUAGCAAUUGCGCUCCCUAGACCACUACCAUUUAGUUAGGUAGGGACAAUCAAUCCAUAGUUACGGGAAUAACGGAAUACAUGGGGAUAAUUUUUUUAGAAAAAUGCAGAUUUUCUAUGAAAUCCUUUCUUUCCAUAGAUGUAUCUGGUCUGAGACGGUACAGUACUCUACGAGAGGAAUGCAAUGGGAUGGAUGGUAGAGGGCUGCCUGCGCCCAAAAGCGAUGAUUCACUUGUCCCCUUGUCUAUAGGGACCUUGUGGCAUACAACCGCCACGACUCCUGCGUUAUAGCCGCCCCUUUCUCUCUUUCUUUUGACUGCCUUGUGGACGGACGAAAGAAGGGAAGUUACAGAAGGGGGCAGUGAAGGCUCGCCAAGUAGACAGCAAGCCCCCACCCCGUCAGUCCUGUGUUGCCGUAGCGUGCCCUACUUCAAUAAGGUAUUACCUCGCCGAUUUUAAAGGGGAUGGGAUUGGAUUCAUUCACUUGCAUUCCUGCUAGCACUAAAAAAGCUCCGGUCUUAACGCCCCUACAGAAGCUGUGCAGCCUUUCCUUAGGUUCGUAGAGUCGGGUUUCCCGUUUACCCACAACGGAGGAGCCGCCCCCACCAACCAAAGCAGGUAGGCGGCCACGGUUCAUAACGCACUCUUCGCACAACAGAUCCACUUUGAAGUUGACUUAUUCGCUCGGCCAAUCGUCGGAAUGUGUAUGAGAUACCAUAAGGGCCCAAUAUCUCAAUAGCACCCUUGUCUAAAGCUUCGAAUGAGACUGAAUAUCCGAAACGCAGGAACGAUCUGACUAGAAAGUCAUUCAAAACUUGAUCGAAGAACCAGCGUUUAUUGAAGAAGCUAUAGAGUCGAUUACAAAAAGUACUAGUUUGAAAGGCUCGUUGGAAUUGAUCCGCUACGAGAUUUACAUUAUACGCUAGAGAAGCACCUGAAGUACUAAACAGAAUAGGUAUUAGUUUUGUAAUGGUUGGGGCAGCAAACUCGGAUUCGGCAAGAAUCUCAUUUUUUGGUAGUACGAAGGGGGAAUUGGCCCAAAAAUUGGAUAGGGGUAAAGACGCAGCCGGGUGCCGGCGGCUUAUUCAAGUGCCCCCCGAACCGCGCGAAAUGGUCGCCUAUUACACGGCUCACAAACUCUGC
rnacentral:lncRNA from 1 species